UACUUACUCUGAGCUAGAUCCCC
rnacentral:sRNA from 1 species